GGGAAAUGAGAGGGGCAUUUGGGACACAGAACAUUCCUUCCUCCUUUAGAGGAGAAAUGAGGGGAGAAAAGGGGAAGAAAGGAGGGUUGGGAAAGCGAACACAGGACUAGGAGAAAGGAGAGCAGGAGGGUGAGACAGGAGGGCCCUGGACAGGGCGGCAGAAGGAAACACGUCCAUGUUGCCUCAUUCAGCACUGUUUCAUGCCCUUUCUGCCGGCACCCAUCCCCCAGGAGAGAUCAUUAUCAUGAUAGAUAUUUCCUGCUCUAAUUUAUCAAGGGUCCUCCUCCUGUCACACACUGGACAUGCUCUCUUGGAUUGGGUUUCCCAGACACAGAGACAGGGGUUCUCAGGCACAUACAUAGUAGGGAGGUAACCCCAGGAUGCUCUUGUAAGCAGGAGCGAGGAAGCAAGACAGAUAAGGGUGGGCAGCCCACACUGCAUCAGUGAGCAGAUGGCCUUUGUGGUCAACUAGGAGCUCUUAGUCCCACCGGGCACUUUGGGAGGCCACAUGGAAUACACCAGCCGCGCUGUCGGGGAGAGCCAGCUAACCCCGCCCGUUUUGCAGAAAUGAAUAUGCUGGAACCCAUCUUAAGCAACAGAGAGCACCGAGGGGCUCAGGCUGGGCCGCUGGCAGCAUCUGCUGCAAAGCCCGACCUUAGUGAAUCCUCCCGCCCUCUGCAGCAGGUACUGUCCUCCACCUGCCAGAGGAGACGGUGGGGCUGCUUACUGUCACCGCCACUGGGCAGCAUGCGAGUUUGGCCUCCUGCGACAUCUGCCCGGUGCCCUCUGUGUGCCCGAGGGUGCCCGGGCCUCUGAGGCCAAUAAGGAAGGAACAAGCUGGGGCCUCUGGUGUCAGCAACUUCUGUGGCCUCGGUAGUUUUCUGCUCAACUUGGGCUGAGCCCUGUGAAUGUGCUAACACAUUUAAGUCCAUGGGGAAGGCAAUGGGUGCACUUUGGAAAUGAGUGAGCAUGGAGGCCUGGCUGGCGUCCCGCAGCUGGUGGGGAAUAUUGUCAGGGGUGCUCUCACUUCUCCCUGAUGCUUUGUGCUCCAUGGCUGCUCCCGGCAAGAACCUGUUCCUUCCUCUCCUCCCCUCUUCUUCCCCAUUGCCUUCCUCUCCCUGGGGCCUGGGCUACACUUGAUUGAGACUGUCGCCAACAGCCCUGGACUUUCCAGACCUCACCCUUCCACAGCACUGGGCUGACUCCCUACCCAGGUUGCGCCUGCCUCCACCCCCUCCUCUGACUCUGGCAGCCUUGGACGGCAGAAGGAGACACCCAUGAAAGCCACCGACUCAGCUGCCCUCUUCCUUCCUCCAAACCCAUGUUCUCACCUCCAGCAGCUGCUCAGCCUGGCAUCCAAGGGCAUCAUGACCUGGCUCUGCUUCCCCUCAGCCUUCCCCACUUGGCAUCCUCCACUCCAGCCACACCCACCAGCCUUUUCCUCUACUUAACCUGUUUCAUUAGAAUGCUUCAGCUCAUCCUUCUAAACGCUGGUUAAAACCACUUCCUCCAUGAAGCCUUCCCUACUUUCCCCAGUCCUAGGUGAAGCACACAAAGACUGGUACACAGAAGGCUUCACAUGAACGUUUGUUGAAUGAAGAUGAUAAAUGUCAACACGCUGAGCCAUGCAGGCGGAUGCAAGGUCCAGAACAGCAGGCUGUGGAAGCGAAUGAACCUGCUUGCAGCCUCUCCAUCUCCCCCAGAGAAAUGAAAAUCCAAAAUUACAUAAAAAAAUAAGUCAGAAAGUGAUUGCAGUC
ensembl:lncRNA